rfam:Colletotrichum salicis strain CBS 607.94 Scaffold_1294.1, whole genome shotgun sequence.
GGCCGGUUGGCCCAAUGGCAAGGCGUCUGACUACGAUUAGUCAUGUUAUCAGGAGAUUCUGGGUUCGACCCCCAGGCUGGUCA